rnacentral:rRNA from 1 species
AACGAACGCUGGCGGCAGGCUUAACACAUGCAAGUCGAACGCAUCCUUCGGGGUGAGUGGCAGACGGGUGAGUAACGCGUGGGAACGUGCCCUUCAGUUCGGGAUAACCCAGGGAAACUCGGGCUAAUACCGGAUACGUGCGAUAGCAGAAAGAUUUAUCGCUGAAGGAUCGGCCCGCGUCUGAUUAGCUAGUUGGUGGGGUAAUGGCCCACAAAGGCGACGAUCAGUAGCUGGUCUGAGAGGAUGAUCAGCCACAUUGGGACUGAGACACGGCCCAAACUCCUACGGGAGGCAGCAGUGGGGAAUAUUGGACAAUGGGCGCAAGCCUGAUCCAGCCAUGCCGCGUGAGUGAUGAAGGCCUUAGGGUUGUAAAGCUCUUUCGUCCGGGACGAUAAUGACGGUACCGGAAGAAGAAGCCCCGGCUAACUUCGUGCCAGCCGCCGCCGUAA